AUGAAGUCCGGUAAUAACAGUAAGUACGCAAGGGCCAAAAUGGAUGCAAGCUACUCCCUUUUGAAAAUUUCACAAUUUCACUGACAAUAGAAAAGAUCAUAAAAGAAGAGAAAACAACAUGCAAGAGCAAGAGGCGAAAUUGAAGAAAACCAAUUCGGAAGGAAGCUUCGUUUCGUUUAGUUUUCUUCUUCCAUUGAAUCUCAUGGCGAGAGUGAAGCACACGUCAGCUUCUCGCAAGCCUGGUAGGAAGAACAAAGCACAACCCGCAUCCACCUCCGCAAACUGUCUCUUUCUCUUCGCGUUUCCGAUUUUUGAAAUCCCUAACGACCUUUGUUUUUUGAAUUUCAAUACCGCGAAUGGAUCACAUAUGAAAUAUAUUAUUAAAUGGUUUUGAGAAAAAUGAAAUUUAAUAGAACCACAACUUAGAAGAUCCAACUCUCUGGCUGAUGGCUUUAUAGCUGGGUCACAGAAUCAAACGCAAUCUCUGGCUGAUUGUGUACACUAUUGUGGCUACCAUGUUUGCAGCAUGCAUCCUGUAUCCUUUUGUCAUCUCUGUCUAGUCUCGAAUCGAUUGAACUUGUGUUAAUAUUGUGGAUUUUUUAAGCAUUUUAUUUGUGUACAACUUGACUUUUUAUACAUAUAUAGUUGAUGUAUAUGAUAUAUUUCAACUGCUAUGCAACUUUCACUAUUAUCGUGUGAGAUGCUAUCUGCUAUAUGAUAUAUCAGAUAUUGGCCUUUCACCAUUUUCUGCGUGAGAUCUCAACACACACUCCUCAUGUAUAUGACUAUUUGUUUAUUAUUGUGAAUUUUGAAUUUGAUUCCGAAGGAAAUUACAACCCGCCGAUUAUACACAAGGACCUGAAAUGUGAUAAUAUAUUUAUCAAUGGUCAUCAAGGAGAAGUUAAAAUUGGAGAUUUGGGGCUGACAACUUUCUUGGAGCGAAGCAAUGCCAAGAGUGUAAUUGCUACACCAUGGAAGAAUUUCAAUAAAAAGAAAGAGGCUGCCCUUAAGAAAAGGAAAGAGGGAACCCUUCAAGUUCAGAAUAAACAGGUCGAAGAUCCAUAGAUAAACAGGGUGAAAGCAUAAGGCAUGGCGAAAAACACUUCGUGAAGCCUCUGUGCACAAAGAUAAAUCUCAUAGAGAUGGCUUGAAUGAGGAUAUUCAUGCCAUUGAGAAAAAAGCCCCCAGGAAUUCCAGGGAUGAUAAUAGAAGUAAACAUAACAGUCACUAUCCAUGGAUUCUUAUUACCAAAAACAAGGUGAAAUGGUUGGUAAAUUAAAGGAAGGCUGACAAAGUACACAGUCACACUUCGGAGCAUCACCUAAGGACAAAAAUAGAAUUGGUCUUGAUCAAUCCCCUGUAACUAAUGGGCGAGGUAUCCCCUUUUUCAUUAACUUGUAUGUUUUCUUCUUUUUUCUUUUUAUCUUUAUCUAUCAGGUUCACAACUAUUCUCCGCCUCCACAAAUUAACAAUAGCAUCAAGAUGGAAGUUGGAAUUGAAGAUUGUCUGCACAUUGAAUUCGAAUACAACAAAAGCAAAAUCUGAGUGAUAAAAAAAAUAGAGACUCAAUAUGUCUAAGGUGGCCAUCCUCUUCACUUUGGCUCUUUUACUGAGCUGCAAUUUAAUCCAUGCCUCUCGUCCUAAUCCUUCACUUAACGUUAUCUCUUCUAAUGGGGAUGUUGGGGCUACAAAGAUAGAGAUAGAUAAUGAGAAUUGUGAAGAAGACACAGAGGAAUGUUUAACGAGGAGGAAUCUAAAUGCACAUCUUGAUUAUAUCUAUGGUCAGAAGGAAAAAGAGGGUCACAAUAAUUAAUGGUUUCAAAUGAUCUUUUAAGGACCAAAUGAAAUAAUAAUGUAAUGGAUUGAUUAUUGACAUAAAUUACUAAUGUAGCAUAAGAAUAA